rnacentral:rRNA from 1 species
GAUGAACGCUGGCGGCGUGCCUAAUACAUGCAAGUCGAGCGAACUUAUUAGAAGCUUGCUUCUAUGACGUUAGCGGCGGACGGGUGAGUAACACGUGGGCAACCUGCCUGUAAGACUGGGAUAACUUCGGGAAACCGAAGCUACUAACGGCUAGGAUCUUCUCCUUCAUGGGAGAUGAUUGAAAGAUGGUUUCGGCUAUCACUUACAGAUGGGCCCGCGGUGCAUUAGCUAGUUGGUGAGGUAACGGCUCACCAAGGCAACGAUGCAUAGCCGACCUGAGAGGGUGAUCGGCCACACUGGGACUGAGACACGGCCCAGACUCCUACGGGAGGCAGCAGUAGGGAAUCUUCCGCAAUGGACGAAAGUCUGACGGAGCAACGCCGCGUGAGUGAUGAAGGCUUUCGGGUCGUAAAACUCUGUUGUUAGGGAAGAACAAGUACGAGAGUAACUGCUCGUACCUUGACGGUACCUAACCAGAAAGCCACGGCUAACUACGUGCCAGCCGCCGCCGUAACAC